GACGAACGCUGGCGGCGUGCCUAAUACAUGCAAGUAGAACGCUGAAGGAGGAGCUUGCUCUUCUGGAUGAGUUGCGAACGGGUGAGUAACGCGUAGGUAACCUGCCUGGUAGCGGGGGAUAACUAUUGGAAACGAUAGCUAAUACCGCAUAACAGUAGAUGUUGCAUGACAUUUACUUAAAAGGUGCAAUUGCAUCACUACCAGAUGGACCUGCGUUGUAUUAGCUAGUUGGUGGGGUAACGGCUCACCAAGGCGACGAUACAUAGCCGACCUGAGAGGGUGAUCGGCCACACUGGGACUGAGACACGGCCCAGACUCCUACGGGAGGCAGCAGUAGGGAAUCUUCGGCAAUGGACGGAAGUCUGACCGAGCAACGCCGCGUGAGUGAAGAAGGUUUUCGGAUCGUAAAGCUCUGUUGUAAGAGAAGAACGAGUGUGAGAGUGGAAAGUUCACACUGUGACGGUAUCUUACCAGAAAGGGACGGCUAACUACGUA
rnacentral:rRNA from 1 species